GAAAUGCGAUAAGUAAUGUGAAUUGCAGAAGUCAGUGAAUCAUCGAAUCUUUGAACGCACCUUGCGCUCCUUGGUAUUCCUUGGAGCAUGCCUGUUUGAGUAUCAUGAAAUCUUCAAAGUAAAUCUUUUGUUAACUCAAUUGGUUUCUACUUUGGUAUUGGAGGUCUUUGCAGCUUCACACCUGCUCCUCUUUGUUCAUUAGCUGGAUCUCAGUGUUAUGCUUGGUUCCACUCGGCGUGAUAAGUUAUCUAUCGCUGAGGACACUGUAAAAGGUGGCCAAGGUAAAUGCAGAUGAACCGCUUCUAAUAGUCCAUUGACUUGGACAAUACUUUUAUGAUCUGAUCUCAAAUCAGGUAGGACUACCCGCUGAACUAAGC
rnacentral:misc_RNA from 1 species